UACGGAGGGUGCAAGCGUUAUCCGGAUUCACUGGGUUUAAAGGGAGCGUAGGUGGGUCUGUAAGUCAGUAGUGAAAUCUCCGGGCUUAACCCGGAAACUGCCAUUGAUACUAUAGGUCUUGAAUUUUCUGGAGGUCAGCGGAAUAUGUCAUGUAGCGGUGAAAUGCUUAGAUAUGACAUAGAACACCGAUUGCGAAGGCAGCCUGACUACAGGAACAUUGACACUGAGGCUCGAAAGCGUGGGGAUCAAACAGG
rnacentral:rRNA from 1 species